AAACCAGGCUUUAGCUUCUCCAGGAACACACUACAGGAUGGAUUUAGCUUAAAUGUACAUUAAACUAAUAGGCAUUCUCUCAAAUGAAUUUAAAUGCAUUUUAUUUUUAGACAACCUACAUGACAAUGUUUUUUGCCUUAAAAACAGUGUUGUGUGGAUGACAAGCAGCAGCCAGUUACGAUGAGCAGUGAUAGAUCCAAAUUGCCAACUUUGUUAACAUUUUUCCCAGAGCAACCAUGGCCCCUGUCAUAAAAGGUUUUACUCUCUCUGGUCUCUGUUCUUCAAGUUUGACAAUAUCAACACCAGUGAUCACUGUGCUUUCGGUACCUUCGCCCUCCGGGCCUUCGGCGGAGGCAUUCCCACCGAUGAGCGAAUCAUCAAUGUUACCCUCUGUCCUACUGACCAUGGCUGAUGAGGUCCCGGUAGAUAAUCAUGAUGGCGGCCGGUAGGAGACGACGACGGCGGCGCUAGCUUGGCAGGAGCCCGGAGCUCAGAGCGAGUGCAGUGCAGCCGGAGCGGCCCUAGGCGGUAGAGGGGAGUGGGCGGAUUUUGAAAACCUUGGAUUCCAUUAUUCAGGAAAUAUUUUUUUCAUUACCUUUUAAUUAUGAAAACUCUUAAAUCACCAAAAGUGGUAGAACCUGUGGAUAAUUUCAUUGAUUUUUCAUAAGAUUAAUAGUCUGUCUUUCAAUAUUUUUGUGUUUUAAAACUGUCUACUUAUUUACUGGAAAGGCAGAAAGACAUGGAGAGAAAGAGAGAGAGAGAGAGAGAGAGAGAGAGAAGACAGAGAGCUCCUACCUAUUGGUUCGCUCUCAAAUGAAUACAAUAGAUGGGUAUUAAAACUUGGAGCUGGGGCCUGCACUGUGGUGUAACAGAUAAAGCCUCCAUCUGCAGUGCUGGCAUCCCAUAUGGGUGCCGGUUCCAGUCUUGGCUGCUCCACUUCCAAUCCAGCUCUCUGCUAUGGCCCCUGGAGAUCAGUAGAAGAUAGCCCAAGUCCUUGGGCCCCUGCACCUGCAUGGGAGACCUGGAAGAAGCUCCUGGCUCCUGGCUUUGGAAAGGCACAGCUCCAGCUGUUGCAGCCAAUUGGGGAGUGAAGAGGAAGACCUCUCUCUCUCUCUCUCUCUCUCUCUCUCUCUGCCUCUCCUUCUCUCUGUGUAACUCUGACUUUCAAAUAAAUAAAUAAAUCUUAAAAAAAAAACA
rnacentral:lncRNA from 1 species